AUGAUACUUAAGUUUAUUAUAAAUAUAGAACCAUUUUCACCCCUGAAGCUAUAAACACUGCACAAUGAAAAUCAUGAUAAAUAUUUACACAAAAUCCCAAAGUAAUAAUACUAAUGAUUUGGUUGCCAUAGCAACCAGACAACAAAUUUAAGUGUCACCUACAAAGCGUUACAAAAUAAUAACCUUUGAAGGUAUAUCAAUUAUAGUUAUCAAUAUAUGAUGAACUCAUUUAUGGCCUUAGUAUUGGAAGUAAACAAUCUCAGUUGACAAGAGUCAUAUAUAAGUUAUGAGGCUCUGGAUGGGGCUUACAGAAUACAGAAUAAAGGGCAAAAUCUUGCUAUGAAUAACCCCAAGAAAAUCUAGAAUUGAGAAUAAUGGGGGGCUUAUAUAGAAAAAAAUUGAGAAUAUUGGGCAAAAUAAAUUAAAAAUAGAAAAAUUAUGAACAAUAUAAAAAAAAUCAGAAUUAAAAAACCCACAUUUGGACCCUCCAUUAUUGUUGAUUAAAUACCUAAUUACAGUGUUUAUGUCUGUUGAUUAAAAGCAGACUAUCCUUUCAGCGAUUUUACAGCACUAAUUAGCAGAACAAAAUAUCAGGUUAUUUUUUUUAUAUAAAUAUCAGGAAAUUUGAAGUUUUGCAUGCUUCUAGUUGAAGUGUGGACACAUGAAAAUGUGUGAACAGUUUAAUGCAUCUUAACUUCAAGGAAAAUCAAAAUUAAUAUGAAGAUAUUUAGAUGUCUAGACAAAACUACAAUGUUAAUAAAAAAUUAUCUGUUGUUUUAAAUGAUUGCAGUUUUUCACAAUGAAAUAGCUGUAGUGAGAAUAAGGGCAUUACAUUAUGUAUAACUGUAAAUUAUCACUUUACGUCUAAAAUUUACUUUAUAUUUUUUUAUCGUAUACAAUGAAAACAAUACAUUUAACAAUAAAUAAGAAUUUCUUUGUAUACUAUUGAAAGAAAAAAAGAAAUUUAACCUCAGACAAAUAGGAGGAAAGACAGCUUAUUGUAAAGUUUGUGCAUGCACUUGUUGAAGUGAACUUAAACAAUGGACAAAAUUGCAAUUAGAAUAUUGUAGAUUAGUCUUUGCGAUUAGAUUAGUCAUUGCGAUUUCAGAAAAUGCUUCAUACAAAUAAUACUGGCUAAAAUGCAAGAUCUUGUUCUUAAGAAACCUUUCACGUCACAAUUUUGACAAUAAUAUCAACAUUGCAAUAAUUUCUUAAGUGACACUAAUUCAUUGUUCUAAAUAAUUCUAUGUGCAAGUUUUAUGUUAAAAUGAAAGAAAUGGAUGUCCACUUUAUAGGAUGUGUUCAGGAUAUAUUAUUAGAAAUUCAAAUAUUGACGUCCUCACAGGGAAAUAUUGCAUUCACCUGAGAUGUAGUGUACCAUAUAAAUAUAAUGAAAAAAAGAUGUGGUAUGAUCGUCAAUGAGACAUCUAUCUAUUUCCUCAAGACCAAACAACAUGAUAGUGAAUAGAUAAGCAUGUACUUUGAAAACAAUAGGCAUAAACCCAUGACACAAAAAGUCUGUAUAAAUCUAGUGGUCAACAAAAGAUACCCAAUAAUAAACAAUACAGAGGUGUUUAUACGACUGGUAUACAAUAUAUUAGGAUAUGAAUUUCACAAAGUCCAAAAAAAACUUUUACAAGUUUGAAUAAAUUCAAAAAGGACAAUUUGAAGAUCUUCAUUUAACAUAUACAAAUUAACUGUGUGUAGCAAUUUCAUGAUAAAAACUUUAUAAAAUUUGUUUAAAUCUGAUCCCUGAAAAGGAAUCACCAUAAAGUUACUUGCUGUAUAUUGCUUUUCACUGUGUCCAUAGAGAUAUUUGUUGACCAUGAAGGAUAAAAAAGCAUGAAACCAUUUUAUGUCUACUUUAAAAAAUAUAUUAUUUAUUUACAGCCCAGAUAUAUAGAUAUAGAUAGUCUUACUUGGUGAUAUGUUUACAUAAAAGAUUAAUGUAUUCCCAAGAGUAAAAUGUAUAUAUGCAUGAGAAUGGUACUUUAAUUAGCAGGUACUCCUACAUUGUUUCAGGGAGAUUUUGCAGUUUAAUUAUGUGAAAUUUAGAGAUUAUUCAUAUUAAAAGAAGAGAUUAUUUAUUUGAGAAUUAGAGAUUAUUUAUUUGAGAAUUAGAG
rnacentral:lncRNA from 1 species